GGUGGAGUGGCCGAGUGGUGAGGCAACGGCCUGCAAAGCCGUGCACACGGGUUCGAUUCCCGUCUCCACCUCGCGCGAUUAGCUCAGCGGGAGAGCGCUUCCCUGACACGGAAGAGGUCACUGGUUCAAUCCCAGUAUCGCGCACCA
rnacentral:tRNA from 1 species